UGCUGAGCGUGCACGAGCGUGUCCUGCAGACUCGUACACUAAAGAGCAUUUCCCCAAAGUUUAUUGCAUUGUUAAUCUUCGUUUCCUAAUAGGGCAAUUAACGCUGGAGAAUAUAACUUGACCCGCUGUUCAGAAGGAUUGCGGAGAAGUUUGGUUGUACUGUAAUAGGUAAAGMCCCUGUAUGACACGCGUGACCUGACAACACUGCUAGAAAACCCAGUUCAUUUCUUUAUUCUAAUAGAGAAGAAAAAUUGUUCUUAUCCAUAAUUUAAUUGUACAUUGGACCUACAUUUUUCCUAAAGUUCUCGGCGGACACAACAUCUUUGUUGGUAUGUGG